CUGGGAAGAUAACGGAGGUUGUUUACCCGCUUUGGAUGCGGGAGGUCGCAGGUUCGAAUCCUGCUUCCCAGAC
rnacentral:tRNA from 1 species